rnacentral:tRNA from 1 species
GCCGAAGUGGUGAAAUUGGUAGACGCGCACGGUUCAGGGCCGUGUGGGUGCAAGCCCGUGUGGGUUCGACUCCCACCUUCGGCA